UGAGGAAUAUUGCACAAUGGACGCAAGUCUGAUGCAGCAACGCCGCGUGGAGGAUGAAGGUCUUUGGAUUGUAAACUCCUUUUCUCAGGGAAGAGAAUGGACGGUACCUGAGGAAUAAGUCACGGCUAACUACGUGCCAGCAGCCGCGGUAAUACGUAGGUGGCAAGCGUUAUCCGGAAUUACUGGGCGUAAAGCGCACGCAGGCGGUCUCUUAAGUUUGACGUGAAAGCUCCCGGCUUAACUGGGAGAGGUCGUUGAAUACUGGGAGACUUGAGGCAAUGAGAGGGGUGUAGAAUUCCCGGUGUAGUGGUGGAAUGCGUAGAUAUCGGGGGGAAUACCAGUGGCGAAAGCGGCACCCUAGCGUUGUACUGACGCUCAUGUGCGAAAGCGUGGGGAGCGGAACGGGAUUAGAUACCCGGUAGUCCACGCUGUAAACGAUGAACACUAGGUGUAGGUGAUGUGAAGUUAUCUGUACCGAAGCCAACGCGUUAAGUGUU
rnacentral:rRNA from 1 species